ACGCUGGCGGCGUGCCUAACACAUGCAAGUCGAACGCGAGAGGGGCUUCGGCCCUGAUUGAGUGGCAAACGGGUGAGUAACGCGUGGGUGACCUACCUUCGAGUGGGGGAUAACGUUCCGAAAGGGACGCUAAUACCGCAUAACAUCCUGUCUUUGGACAGAUGGAGAUCAAAGCCGGGGAGUCGUAAGACCUGGCGCUUGAGGAGGGCCCGCGUCCGAUUAGCUAGUUGGUGGGGUAAUGGCNCACCAAGGCAACGAUCGGUAGCCGGCCUGAGAGGGCGGACGGCCACACUGGGACUGAGACACGGCCCAGACUCCUACGGGAGGCAGCAGUGGGGAAUUGUUCGCAAUGGG
rnacentral:rRNA from 1 species